UCUAAAAAAAAAAACUUUACACUAACUUAUUGCACCUUCGUUGUCUCCAGUUUCAAUGGAUAAGAGUUGGAAUUUAUGGGUUCAUUUUGUAGGUCAACAUGAACAUGGCUAAACAUUAUGCUGAAUUUAUUCACUGGAAUCAAGAUAUCAGAUGAUGCAAGAGAUUGCUGACCAGAGGGGGAUCCAAGGUGUAAUAAGUUGAUAUACAUAAUUAAGUGUCAGUUAGCAUAUGAUAUCUCCACAAGCCAUGUGAAGCGAUAAUGACAGUAUGGGCUCCUACAUUGCGGCCAAUCCCCACCAAGCAAUGGUAGGUGUCAUCAUGUUCAAUCUUUAAAGUUUCUUUGGUCCAUCUCUGAGUUGUGAGGCAUUUUCUUUCUCUGAUGUUAAUUUCUUUAGUUCAAUUUGCUGUAUGAUUGUACUCUUUCUAUUCGGUCAAAACCUAAAGGAUCAAACUGACCUACUUGAAAAAAAAUGGACUAGCUUAACUGGAUUGGUUGGUUUGCCGAACUGAACUGAUUGUUCAUCGAGUUAAAGACACCUUCAACCAAAAGCACGUAGGAACAAUCUUCCUACUCAUAGUCAAUGAAAAAACUUUUCUUGGCAUGAGCCAUGAACUGUCCUGCUGCUGUCUGUUUUGUUUCCUUCUGUACUAGAUUUUAAUUGCCCAACUCAAACAAGAUGUAGAACUUAUUUGAUUUGCAAUUAAUUUUUUGAAAAGAAAACAACUGUUCACCUAGAACGGCUUGGUAUGUUUUGAAUUAUCUGCUUGUUUUGAACUGUAUCAUUAACAAAUGCAUACAAAUUCAAGCACAAUGUGUCAAAGCUACAAGUAAUGUAGGACAUUUAUGAAAUUUUUUAUUUUUUCUGAAACUUGCAACUGAAAUUUAAACGACAAGCCUUGAUGUUUUAUCAGAAUCUGAAUGUAAGUUUGAAUUAUUCCUCUGUCUCCAAGGAGAGCACAUAAGAUCUGAGUUGUCUAGUGAACUUGAACACAAUAUCUGUAAUGAAAGAGGAAAUAGGAUCAUGGAUUAACAGAAGUCGAGCAUCAAUAUUCACACAUGCCUCAAUGUUAAUGAAUAAAUCAUUUUCACCUCUUUUACUUUGAAGUUAAUCUUGCACAAUUCCAGAACAUGCUUUUUCUUAAACAUUUGCCAUGCCACUAAACUUCGUAGAUCUUAAUUAAUCAAGUCUUCAAGCCUCUUCAUUGUUCUAAUACAAUGUAUGGUAAUUCUAGAUGUAGCUGUUAUUUUCUUGUAUAAAUCAAAUACUAACUUCCAAGAGUUAGUAGAUCAUCAUGUUUAUUUUUUCAGUGAAAAUUGCACAAAUUUUCUUCCUCUACAUUAAUCAAUAGUUAGCUUGUACAGUUGAGUUUUACAGUAAUCAAAUGGUAGGCAUAAUUUUAGUUGUUCCCCUCUCCACCAUUUCUAAAACCUAAAACGAGUAGCAUACAUUAUUUUUCCUAUACUAACCUACUUUUACACCUAAAAGGAGAAUGAACAUGUGCAUAAAUAUAAUAUGAAGUUAAGUUGAACAAGCACUCUGACAAAGAAUUAUGGAUGUUGACUCCUUACUUCACAAAGCAGAGGAAGAACAGUUGUGGCUCGUGCUGGCUCACAUUGUUUAGUAGACUCACAUUUACUUUGGUAAAAACUCACCAGUUUAAUUGGGGAUACACCAAUUAGACACUACCAAUUCUAUACCUGCGUUUCCAUUUAGGUUUGAGAAGACUAGAUAAUGGCUACUGGAAUGGCAUCAUCAACUAAGUAUCAAAACAACUUCAUCCAUUGAAGCAAGAGUUAUUGUUGAUAGGGCAGACUGACACUCAUAAAUAGUGUUCGAAUUCAACUUGUAAUUUAUCCUGGGUCAUUCAGAAAAUCAACAGUUAGAAAAUCCUUUCUCUAGUUUAACCAUGGCAGCUUGAAUGCAGGGCAACAUUUGGUGUCUUGGCAUAGGUGUUCAAGACCAACAACACUCAGAGGCUUGGGUGUUCUCAAUCUGAAAGCUAACAACCUUGCAAUGCUGUGUGUUCUUGGUUGUGGAACCUAGUUAACUGAUGAUAUCGAUGAAGUGGAUCUAGAUUGGCCUGAAAUUGUAGAACAAACCAUCAAUCAAGAUGAACACAUAACCCCGGUUAAAUCAAACCACAAAUGGUCCUCCUUCGGAAAGAAAUGAUGAAGUCAUGAAGGUACUGAACUUCCUGAUAGGCCUAAAAAAUUGGACAUCAGAAAUGUCUGGAAAACAAACUUUUGGCUGGACAGGUGAUCAGGUGACACAAUCCUAAGUAACCACUUUCCCGAGCUUGCUAAGAUAAGCAGAAAUCUCAAAACUCUGUCAGAUAGUGGGGUAAUCCUCCAAUAGGGACUGAUGCAACUGAUAUAGUUUUGUGGAGGGUGUUCAUAAGUGAUUUACUAGCACAUUUGGUCCUCUGUUGAUCCAAAUAAGUUAAGAUUUUUCACUGGCUAGUUAAGACGAACAGAAUUAACACACAGCAGGCUGCAAAGAUUGGAAAUGGUUAUUCCAGACGGCAGAUGCUCUUUUUGUGGACGUGACGAGGAUAUUAAUAUGCCACUGGUUCACAAAAUAUGCUUUCACUAAAAUAGGUUAGUUUUUCCAUGCAGAUGCACUCACUUGCCAUCCAAUGGAGGAAACACAGUUUCCUUUUUGCAACUGCUGGGGAAAGGAUCUUCAGCAAGGGAGUAACCAGGCAUGGAUUUGCAUGGUAUGGAGGCAAUGUGAUUACAUUGAUUUUAGAGUGGAAAUCCCUCAAAGCCCAUCACUCUACCUACAACUUAUGGAGGAGAAGAGCAAAGGGAAGGAAAAGGAUCAAGGUGCGUGCUAUAUUUUCAGGAGCUUAAAGCAAAAAUUGACUUGAUUAAUAGAAUCAUUUCAAGCUGAAGAGGUAUUUGCUGCAGUAUCAACUGAAGGGAUGGAAGGUGUACAUGAGUAAUUUCUUUUUUCUGCUUUUGUUGCAACUACUGAUAAUACCCAUCUUGGUCCUUUUGCUCUAAUUCUUAACUUUUCUUAUGCUUAUUAAUAUUAGCAGUUGGUAGGUAAAUGAAUACUUAAGUCAACUUCUUCUGGCGAUGUUAGACUCAAAAGCACAUGGAUGACUUUGAGAUAAGCAAGAACAAUGCUUCAUUGUCAGAGUCAUGGAAUCAUUUCUGUAUAUGAGCUGUGCAAUAUUUUCGAUUUGUCAAACUUUGAUACUCCAAAGCAACUGUGAGUUAAUGAGUUGUUUGAUUUUGUUAUUGGUCCUUA